GAGCGGGGAGCAAGGCCUGCGGGGAGGCGCAGGAUGGACGCGUUGGCUGUCAUGAUGUAGGACCUCCUGACCUAGAACCAUGCCCGGCGCAGGGAGAACAACGAGCUUACGGACCGGGUGCGGGGGCUGCUGUGCGAGAAAGCCUACCUGCUGGCCCGGGAGCGUUCGCCGGCCCACCUGGUGGCUUUCCCUGGACGUUUAACGGCGACUCCGCCCGGCCUCCCGACUUUUUGAUGCAGGCGUUCUCUUACAUGACUUUCUUCGAGGCUAGAUUCUCGAAAGACAUCCUGAAGGUGGCUUUCUUAAUUAGCUGCCUCACCGGCUGGCGGAGCAGUUCGUAGUCGCCUACAUCGAGAGGGAGAGCCCCGUCCUGGCUCAGUACUGGGGCUUCGUGGACGCGCUGUAGCGGGUCUUCGCCGUCGUGGGUAGGAAACAGUCGGGCCGGAUCCCCGGUGUCUGGGGAGCGGCUGCCGGCCGGGCCCGCGCGAGCCGCUUCACUCCUACAAGCCCGGCUCACUAGUUCCAAGCUGCUGGACUUUGACCCUCGCUGGGAAGCUUGAUCGCCGCCUGUUCUCGCCAAUCUCUAUGCCUUUGCACUGCCCAGCAACCCGGUCACUGCCCAGGACCUGUUAAAAGUUGAAUGGACCUCCCAGAAUCACGCCGCUGCCACCGCCGUUUCUAGAGACGGCUUUUGGCCACCUUUGAGAAUCAGGGUCAAACUUGGAAGGGCCUGCAUUUGUCACACUUCCUCGGACACUAAUUUGGAUAGUUCAGGCCCAGAGACGGCUUCCCGGGUUAGUGUGCCUGACAACACUGAAGAAAAAUUGUGACAUUUUCCUUCCCCAGAAUUACUUCGUUUUAUACAUUUCACUUCUCUUCUGAAAUCACAGCAAUGCCAGUUUGCGCCUUUUGGUCUGAGGAACGCAGGCCCUGGCCACUACCAGGAAAAAAUCCUUUGCACAUGGCCUGCUAUCAACAAUCCUCUACAAUGAUUCUCAGCAUCACCUAGGGAGCUUAUGUAAAAUCUCAAAUUCCUGGGCCCUAUCCCCAGAGUUUCUUAUCAAUUUCCUUGAUGGAGAACUAUCAAAGCAGUCAAAGCUAUCAAAAUAAAAAAGAAUUCUGAUUGGGUGCAGUGGCUCACACCUGUCAUUCCAGCACUUUGAGAGGCCAAGGUGGGCAGAUCACAUGAGGCCAGGAGUUCAAGACCAGCCUGGCCAACAUGGCAGAAACCCCAUCUCUACUAAAAAUACCAAAAUUAGCCGGGCAUGGUGGAACACACCUGCAAUCCCAGCUACUCGGGAGGCUGAGGCAAGAGAAUCGCUUGAACCUGGGAGGCAGAAGUUGCAGUGAAACAAGUUGGUGCCAAUGCAUUCCAGCCUGGAUGAUGGAGCGAGACUCUGUCUCAAGAAAAAAAAAACAAAAACAAAAACAGAACUCUGCCUCAUAGCGUCUUUUAAGUUAUACACUGGACCUAUCCUUUCCUCACUGACAGACAUUUUAAAAAUUUUUUGGUAAGGCCUAGUUCAUAUAAAAUGUAAUCCAAGCCAAAAGUUAACAAGAAUAAGGGGAGGAAAGGGGACUCCAAUAGCAGAGAAAGGUAUUUACCUGGGAUAUACACUGCAAGAAAAUCAAAGCUAUAAGAAACGUCCAUGAAUAGUAGCCAUAAGGCAUCAGAGUGAUAAAAUUCCUGUCCCUAGGAGGGAAUAUUGGAGUUUGCCAGAGAAACAGAAUGAGAGAGACAGAGAGGUUUAUUGUAGGAAUUGGCUCAUAUGAUUACGGAGGCUGAGAAGACCCACGAUCUGCCAUCUGCAAGCUGGAGAAUCAGGAAAGCUGGAGGUGUAAUUCAGUCAAGUCCAAUGGCCAGAGAAGCAAGUGUACUGAUAUCCAAGAGCAGGAGAAAAUAGAUGUCCCAGAACAAGCAGAGAGGCUGAUUUUGUCCUUCCUCUGCCUUUUUGUUUCAUAUGGGGCACUGAAUGGACUGAUGCCCAUCCACAUUAGUGAGGGUGGAUCUUCUUUACUCAGUCUACCAGUAGAAAUGUCAAUGACUUCCAGAAACACCCUCACCAACACACGUGGAAAUAAUGUUUUACCAGGUAUCUGGGCAUCCCUUGGUUCACUCAAGUUGACACAAAAUUAACCAUCACAGAAGGAGACUGGCCUUACUCUGAAAUUAGGAAACUAAAGAAGUGACCAGAAUGGAGACUAGGUAGAGACAACUAGUUCUCUACCAAACAUGUACAGUUAUUCGUUGGUAUCUGAAGGGGAUUGGUUCCAGGAACUCUCAGGGAUACCAAAAUCUGCAGGUGCUCAAGUCAUUUAUAUAAAAUAUUACAGUAUUUGCAUAUAACCUUUGCACAUCUUCCAUAUACUUUAAAUCAUCUCUACAUUACUUAUAAUAAUGAAUGUGUAAAUGCUAUGAAAAUAGUUACUACACUAUUGUUUAUUUGUAUUUUUAUUGAAUUGUUUUGGGGUGGGGGGCAGCUGUAUCUUUCUUAGUAAUAGAACCCCUGGUUUUAGCUGGGCACAUGACUGCCCUCAAUAAAGAUUAAAGUACCCCAGCCUUCCUUGAGAUUGUGGCCAUGUGACUGAACUUUAGACAGUGAGAUAUAAGCAGAUAUCUUCUGUGGCAGUGUUAGGAAACUAUUAAAGACAGUAAGAACAUUGCCCUUUGCCUUCUUUUUCCUUUCUUCAUUUUUCUGCCUGGAAUGCAAAUGUGAUGGCUAACACCCUAGCAGCCAUUUUAGAUUAUGAAGAUGAGAGUCACUCCCCAGGAAGGGUGGACCUGAAAGCUGGAUUCUAGAUGUGGAAUGACAAUACCAGCCCUGGACUACCUACCUGUAGGCUGUGUGUGUGUGUGUGUGAUUGACAGAGAGAGAGAGAGAUAGAUACCACAAGUAACACAAAGCAUCAUACCUGGGACUGGGAAGGUUAAUGUUUAAACAUUUUAAAUGUGGCAUUGGUUUGUUGAAGACAGUCAAGCAGUAGGUGCUGCAGGCUUUGUUGAGGCUAGAAAGCUGUUGGUCUUUAUUAGGUGAUGGCAAAACAAUGGAUCACAUUUUCAUGUGCUGUGUCUUGGGAGGCAAAUGAUGAGAAUGUAGGAUUGGGGAAAAUGGUAAGGAAAAUCCAAAAUGUUCAUGUUUUCUAACCCCUUCUUGCCAAUCUUAAAAGAAGGACAAACAGGCUAGAUUAAGCAAGUCUACAGUUACAAUUGGAAGGAAACACAGCCGUACUAAGGAAGUACUCUGUCUGUGGCCUGCAGUCUAGUUUGACUAGGUCCUGUAUUUGAGCUUUGAAAGAGUAAAGAAUACAAGUGCUCGUAUACCCCUGAAGUAGUUACCAGCAGUGACUGCAAGGAGGUAAUCUUAUGGGAUGAAACUAUAACUCUGUAUUAACCAUCAUAUAUAGCAUAUAUGUGUAUAUGUAUGUGUGUGUGUGUAUAUGUGUAUAUAAAUAUAUGUGUGUGUAUAUACACACAUGUACACACCCUACAACCCAGUGAUUUCAAAAAAUUAAACAUUUGUUUAGCUCAUGAAUCUGUGGGUUGGGUGAACAUUUCUAUUGGUCUUGGCUGGGCUCACCUGUACCCAGUCAGCUGCAGGGUCUAGCUCUUCUUAUCUUGGCUGGGAUCUCACACAUGUCUAGGAUCAGCUGCUUUACUAGUCUAGGAUUGUCUUGGCUGAGACAGGUGGACUACUCAGUUCUCCUCCACUGCCUUAUCCUUCAGCUGGCCAGCCCAGAAAUGUUGCCAUGUUUACAGCAUAAGAGCAAGCAAGAAAGAAUAAUAUGCAACCACUUUUCCAAGCCUAAGGUGAAAGGGCGGGCAGAACCUGUGGUGUUAGGAGGCAACUCAUACCAGCCCAUGGGUCUACCGUUUAAUUUUCAGAAAUUUGGCAAGCUGAUUGUUAACACAGCUGUUGUUUAAUUUAUGUACUUGUAAUUAAAUAAUUUACAUUAAAACAAAGAUAAUAGGUACUCAAAA